rnacentral:misc_RNA from 1 species
AAAAAAAAAAACCCUAACCCAAACACUCUCUCUUUCUAAUUUCACAUUUAGAUGGUUAGUGCUUCCACAGGAAUUUAUUUUCUUAUUUCAACCUUUGAGCUGCCAUUUCCCUUAAUAUUUCAAACCAUUUCCCCCCCUAAUUUGUUGAAAUAAAAAUCCAAUCCUGUCUUCCGCUUUUUCCACACUCGUUGAUCUUCCAUUUUACUCAUUAUCCGUUUCAAUUUUGAUCGUCGUGAUCGUGAACGAUUAAUCAAGUUUGCAUUUUGUUGCACAAUUUGAGAGAAUUUUAGUACUUCUCAUUUUGUAAAUUUAGCACUUUUUAUGAGAAAUCUAAUUAUACCCUUCUGUAGAUUAUUGGUUUCAUUUUCUUCUUAGAAGCAACUUGUUUGUGUGUUGAUGGAGAACAUUGGAGAGGCAUUGGAUGAUCAGGGCUCAGGAUGGUUUGAAGUCAAAAAGAAGCAUAGAAGUAGUGCAAAGGUUUCCAUGAAGAGUUGGUCCGGGGGAUUUUUAGGAAAAAAUAGUUCUGGUUUUCAGCUUAAUCAGCCCUCAUUGGGUGAAAAAAGUGGGAAUUUGUGUGGACAAUAUAGAUCUCGGAUUCCAAAGGCAGGAGCAAAUCUAUCCAUACAUGACUGUGAUGAUGUUGCUAAUUCUGCUUUAGUGUCAAAUGAAAACGAAAAUGAUGUCAUCUGCACUGAUAAAGCAGUGGUUAAACAAGACAGUGAAGAUGGCAAGUCGCCACAGUUGUCUGGUACUAAUUCCAGUGCUAAAAGUGGAAAUAUUCAGAAAAUAUUAGAUACAGAGAAGCCUGAUGUGUUUCCCAAAAUCAAAUGGGGUGAUCUAGAGGAUGAUGUUUUGUUAAUGCAUCAUGAUAAUAAUUCUCGAGCUGCUUUCAAAUUUGCUGAUACUGGAGGUAAUGAUUUAGCGGCUGGGAAGCUUGAGAACAGUUGUCUUAUGGUUUCUGAAGUUUGUUCUUGCACCAACCUCCAAGAAAACAAACUGAUGACAACAUCUGUAGAUGUAGAUAUUUUUCCUAAUCAAACUGUUGCCCCCAAUAAGGAGGACAUAAUUGAAAUGAGUGACAUGAUUGGUCCAAAUGAUGUUUCAAAUAGCAAGGAAAAACAUAGUGAACAUUUUGAACCAAUAGAUACUUAUUUAAGUUCUACUUGUCAAUCGAGUGAGGCUGGGAUAGUUUUGACACUUCAGGUGCCUGCUGUUGUUUCUGAGGUAAAUGAUUCAGAAUUUUCUGAAGUAUCAGUUAGAAGUAGGAAUUUAGCAGUGGUUCCACGGGACAGUGGGUCAAUUCUUACUGGAAAGUGUGAUCCUGAAGUUUCUGGUGAUGCUGGCAUUGUGGUGAAACUUCAGUUGCCUGUCGCAUCUGCAGUAAAUGAGUCAAAACCUUCUGAAUUAUCAGUUACAAAUGGGAAUUCUGACACGGUGCUGAUUCCUCUGGAUGGUGAAUCUCUUCUACCUGAAAAAAGUGAUCCUGAAAUUUCCAGAGAUUCUGGGAUAGUGGUGAAACUUCAGUUGCCUGCUAUAUCUGAGGUAAAUGAGUCAUUAAUUUCUGAAGUACAUGAUAUAAAUGGGAAUUCAAAUCCAGCAGUAGCUGUCCAUAAUAUUGAGUCACUUGCAAGUGAAAAGCAUGGACCUGAAGUUUCAGGAGAAUCUAGAGUAACAGUUUCUGCUGAGGACUCUGAAAAAAAAAAUGAACUUUUGAAGGCCCAGAGUAUGAACCCCCUUGAAGAAGGUGACACAGGUGAAAGCAAAGAAAGGUUCAGGGACCGACUUUGGUGCUUUCUGUUUGAGAAUCUCAACAGGGCUGUAGAUGAACUUUAUCUUCUUUGUGAGCUUGAAUGUGAUGUGGCGCAAAUGAAAGAGGCCAUUCUUGUUCUUGAGGAGGCUGCAUCUGAUUUUAAAGAACUGACUACUCGAGUGCAGGAGUUUGAGACUGUGAAAAAGUCCUCUUCUCAAUCAUUUGAUGGGAUUCCAGUUCCUUUGAAGUCUGACCAUCGCAGGCCACAUGCUCUCUCAUGGGAGGUUCGGAGAAUGACUACUUCACCUCACAGAGCAGAGGUAUUAUCUUCAUCUUUGGAGGCUUUUAAGAAAAUUCAACAAGAAAGAGCUAACAAGCUUCCAGCCAAUAAUGGAAAAACCCUGGUACUUGAGUGUUCUAAUCACCAACAUGUAUCUGAUGAUAAUGUGAGGAAAUCAGCAGGUAAAAAGGAUAUGAUACUCAAUGCUAGAGAUUCAAUAAUAAAAUCAAGGAAACAAAGUGGAGGUUCAGAUUUCACUCAGGGUAGUUUGAAUGUUGAGAAGCGGAAUGUUGAAUUAGGCAGGUCCAAUAAAGUAAACUUUGUGCAAAAUGGUCAUGUUCAUUCACAUAACUCAUCCUCAUCCUAUAUCAAUAUGUCUCGUCUGCCUUCUAGAGAUACUUCUGCUGCCUCUGGUGCUGGAAAGAGCAAAAGAGAAUCUGAGUCAGACAAGCAACUUCAUAAGAAAGAGAAAAAUUUGGCUGAAAAUACCAUUGAGAAAAACCCAAAACCCACUGAACCCCCUCGGAAACAGAUUCCACUUUCCGAAAAAGAUAAGGAAAAGAGAAAUUCUGCUUCAUGGAAAUCAAUGGAUGCAUGGAAGGAGAAGAGGAAUUGGGAGGACAUACUUUCAUCUCCUUUCCGUGUCUCAUCCCGCAUAUCACAUUCACCAGGUAUGAGCAGAAAAAGUGUUGAGCGUGCACGUAUUUUGCAUGAUAAACUUAUGUCUCCUGAGAAGAAGAAGAAAACUGGUUUAGAUUUGAAAAAGGAAGCAGAAGAAAAGCAUGCACGGGCUAUGAGGAUUAGAAGUGAGUUGGAGAAUGAAAGAGUUCAGAAGCUUCAGCGUACCUCUGAAAAAUUAAAUCGAGUAAAUGAAUGGCAGGCUGUACGCACUAUGAAGUUACGGGAGGGAAUGUAUGCUCGCCACCAGCGUAGUGAAUCUCGACAUGAAGCUUUUCUAGCUCAAGUUGUCAGGAGAGCUGGCGAUGAAAGCAGUAAAGUUAAUGAGGUUCGUUUUAUUACUUCCUUGAAUGAAGAAAAUAAGAAGCUUAUGUUGCGUCAGAAACUUCAUGAUUCUGAGUUGAGGAGAGCUGAAAAACUUCAAGUGAUAAAAACAAAACAAAAAGAAGAUAUGGCUAGAGAGGAAGCUGUUUUAGAACGAAGAAAACUUAUUGAAGCUGAAAAGUUGCAGCGUCUUGCUGAGACACAGCGGAAAAAGGAAGAGGCUCAAGUUAGAAGAGAAGAGGAACGCAAAGCAUCAAGUGCAGCUCGUGAAGCAAGGGCCAUUGAACAGCUUCGGAGGAGGGAGGAGCGUGCCAAAGCCCAGCAAGAAGAAGCUGAAUUGCUGGCACAGAAAUUAGCUGAGAGACUUAGUGAGAGUGAACAACGUCGUAAGUUUUACCUGGAACAGAUACGGGAGAGAGCAUCUAUGGAUUUCAGGGAUCAAUCUUCACCUUUAUUGCGCAGAUCCAUUAACAAGGAAGGCCAAGGCCGAUCUACACCAACUAUCAGUGGUGAAGUGUAUCAAGAAAACAGUGUUACAGGUACAGGAGAUUCUACUUCUACUCUUGCUGCAGGAAAUGUCACGCUGCAGCAUUCACUGAAGCGACGGAUUAAGAAGAUUCGGCAAAGACUUAUGGCUCUGAAGUAUGAAUUUCCUGAGCCUCUAGUUGGUUCUGAAAAUGCUGGUAUUGGAUAUAGAACUGCAGUGGCAACUGCAAGAGCAAAACUUGGGAGGUGGCUUCAUGAACUUCAAAGACUUCGACAGGCAAGAAAAGAAGGGGCUGCAAGCAUAGGCCUAAUUACUGCUGAGAUGAUCAAGUUUUUGGAAGGAAAGGAGCCUGAGCUGCAGGCUUCUCGACAAGCAGGUCUGCUUGAUUUUAUUGCCUCUGCGCUGCCUGCUUCUCAUACAUCAAAACCUGAAGCUUGCCAGGUUACAAUACACCUUCUAAAACUUUUGCGAGUAGUCCUUUCUGUACCUGCAAAUCGGAGUUAUUUUCUAGCGCAAAAUCUUUUACCCCCAAUCAUCCCCUUGCUGUCUACUGCCCUUGAGAACUAUAUAAAGAUUGCAGCAUCUUUAAAUGUCCCUGGGAUUACCAACCUGGCAUCAAGCAAAACAUCAGUUGAAAAUUUUGAGUCAAUCUCUGAAGUACUGGAUAAUUUCUUAUGGAUCGUUGGAGCUGUUAUUGGUCAUACAAGUUCUGAUGAACGGGAACUCCAAAUGCAAGAUGGCUUACUGGAGUUACUGAUUGCUUACCAGGUUAUUCACCGGUUGCGAGAUCUUUUUGCACUUUAUGACAGGCCUCAAGUGGAAGGAUCACCAUUCCCUUCUUCUAUUCUCUUAAGCAUACAUCUGUUGGUUGUUUUAACAUACAGACCUAAAACCUAUAGUUCCAUUGACUGGGAAUCUUCUCCAAUAGUAACAGUUCUUGGAUUUGACAAUCAAGAAGCCAAGCCAGCAGAUGUUGCUGAUUUUGUAUAUUCCACUGCAAAUAUGACAUCUGAAGAAUGCAGACCUCCACUAUCUGUAUUAAAUGGUAGUGCAGUUCCAGAUGUAUCAGAGGAUACACCAGUACAUGAAUCAUGUAGUAUAGAUAAGAGUGAUGAGUCAUUAUCCAUUGGCAAAGAUGGUGAAAAGAAGCCAACUUAUAGUUCAGCGGAGUUGAAUGAUGCCGAUAUUAACUUGAAAGACGUUUCGAAUGAAUUCAAAAAAUUUCUGAUUGAGGAGAAGGAUGAAAAACACCUGGUCAACAUUGGUGCAGAGCAAAAGAAUAAUAACAUUUUAAGUAUGAAGCAGCCAGUAUCUUCUCUUCUUUCUGCCAUAUCUGAAACUGGACUAGUCAGUCUUCCCUCUUUGCUGACAGCCGUGCUAUUGCAGGCAAACAAUAGAUUGUCCUCUGAGCAGGGUUCAUAUGUCCUUCCAUCUAAUUUUGAAGAGGUUGCAACUGGAGUGCUGAAGGUUUUGAACAAUUUGGCGCUUUUGGAUAUUUCAUUUAUGCAGAGAAUGCUAGCUAGGCCAGAUCUGAAAAUGGAAUUUUUCCAUUUGAUGAGUUUUCUUCUUUCUCAUUGCACUAGCAAAUGGAAAGUAGCUAGUGACCAGGUUGGGUUGCUGCUGCUUGAAUCUCUUUUGCUUCUUGGUUAUUUUGCCUUGUUUCACCCUGAAAAUCAAGCUGUCCUCCGGUGGGGAAAGAGUCCUACAAUUCUUCACAAGGUCAGUAAAAAGUAACAGUAAUGUUCUUACCUAACAAAAAGUUAUAGAUAAAGUUUAAUUGUUUACCUGGAAGAAAGCAGGUAUGCGAUCUGCCAUUUGUGUUCUUCAGUGAUCCUGAGCUGAUGCCGGUUUUGGGUGGCAUGCUGGUUGCUGCCUGUUAUGGGUGUGAGCAGAACAAGUCUGUGGUUCUGCAAGAAUUGAGUAUGGAUAUGCUACUCUCCUUGUUAAUGUCUUGCAAAAAUGUUUCACUGGCGGUUCAAGCCAAUCAAACUUUGGACAAUUUGCCAAUUGAGGAUUCUGGCGAAAGUAAUCAGCAGAAUUCUGAACUGAAAAAAUCGCAUGGUGAUAUUCCAUUGAGAUCCAACCGUUACAACACCAAAAGCACUAGGGUGUCUUUGGGGAAAGCUAGUGUUUUAGGAAAUACUGUCAGAGGCAGCAAGAUGAGAAGCCAAAGAGAUUGCAAAGCAACAAAAAUUGGUGAAGAAAUGGCCUUGAAGCAUAGUCCACUGACUCCUGAAACUUCUGUGAUGUUGCAUUCUAGGUUCCCUAGUAGCUUCAUCGACAGAGUAGAGCAGUUCUUUUCAGCAGGCAUCACUAGUGCGGGUGAAGUUUAAUUCAACCAUGGCAUAACUCUUGAUCUUUAUAUAGAUAUUGCUGCACAUGCUAUGCCUUGAAGGACAUAAUCCCACUUAAAUUAAUCGGUGGGGUUUUGUCUGAAUUUGGCAGAAUGAUUAGCCGAGACCAUUCAUAAAUGGGAAAGUUCCUAAUUUCACUGAUGAAGGCAACUUCUGGAUCUUGGAUUGUGGCAGAGGAAACAAUAAUUUUGGUACUAACACAAGCCAAGAUCAAGAUUGACUAGAAUUUAGGUAAUAUUUACUUGUAAAACGCUCAUCACUUUAUAAAGUUGCUUAAUUUUCAAGUUUUUAUUUAAAAGUACGCGGUGUUCAAAGAGCAACGAUUUCUGUAUGAAGGCUUUGCUUUUGCUGAUGUUGAUUUUAGUAGUAACGCUCCUAUAUCUGCCUUCUCAAAAUGCAAGCCGGUAAGUGUUA